GAUGAACGCUGGCGGCGUGCUUAACACAUGCAAGUCGAACGAUUAAAGCCCGCUUCGGUGGGUGCAUAGAGUGGCGAACGGGUGAGUAACACGUGGGCAACCUGCCCCUCACUUCGGGAUAACUCAGGGAAACCUGAGCUAAUACCGGAUACUCCGGGAUGGUCGCAUGGCCGACCCGGGAAAGUUCCGGCGGUGAGGGAUGGGCCCGCGGCCCAUUAGCUUGUUGGUGAGGUAACGGCUCACCAAGGCGACGAUGGGUAGCCGAGCUGAGAGGCUGAUCGGCCACACUGGGACUGAGACACGGCCCAGACUCCUACGGGAGGCAGCAGUGGGGAAUCUUGCGCAAUGGGCGAAAGCCUGACGCAGCAACGCCGCGUGCGGGAUGAAGGCCUUCGGGUUGUAAACCGCUUUCAGCAGGGACGAAACUGACUGUACCUGCAGAAGAAGCCCCGGCUAACUACGUGCCAGCAGCCGCGGUAAUAC
rnacentral:rRNA from 1 species